rnacentral:lncRNA from 1 species
CAAGCACUCCAUGAGUGGGCUGUUGGCUAUGCUUUACCCUCACUUCUUUUCUCCUCGCAAGAGAAUCACGUAUCUUUGAGGAAUUAGAAGCAAGGUCACUCUCUGGAAGUUAAGGUGUAAAACAAAACACAAGGAUGAAUCAGGAAUCUUCCAAGUCACCCUAAGACAAUGGACUGGGUCACCAGCUACUGAGUUUUACCUGUGAAAUGAUUGAAUGUAGCAACACACUAAAAACCAAUAUGGCCAUUUUUAAUUAAAACAUACAGAAAAAAAGCUUAUAGAGGUAAACUGGCUCAUAGCCAAUGGACUUCCAAAUGUUCUAGUCUUGCCUUCAAGGAGAGUAUUUCUACUAACAUCAUGAAUGAAUCAGGCCAUCCUAACUUAGAGAUAAGAACUCUGAGGCUCAUCUGUCAGUGCUCUCAGCCAGGGGCAAUUCAGCUCCCUCUAGGGAACAUUUGGGAAUAUGUUGGGAUCUGUAGCAUGUUCUCACUGGCCAAAAGACUGCUGAUUCAGGCAAAUCUUCUGUGGGCUGGAUUAUGUGAGAAAGAAAGUGUCCAUUUUUGGGUCUCUGGAAGGAAAAGGAGACUCAGUUUUUAAGGGAAUUAAGAGGAAACAAGGCAAAAAAAUAAUUUCUUUCACAAAAAAAAAUAAAUAAAAGGGUGUGCUAUAUCCA